GGAGGGGUGGCCGAGCGGACGAAGGCGGCGGUCUUGAAAACCGUUAGGCGUGCAAGCGUCUCGGGGGUUCGAAUCCCUCCCCCUCCGCCA
rnacentral:tRNA from 2 species